AACGCGAAGAACCUUACCUGGGCUUGAACCGCACAGGACCAUCUUCAGAAAUGAGGACUUCCCGCAAGGGACCUGUGUAGAGGUGCUGCAUGGCUGUCGUCAGCUCGUGCCGUGAGGUGUUGGGUUAAGUCCCGCAACGAGCGCAACCCUUACUCAUAGUUGCUACCCGCAAGGGAGAACUCUAUGAGGACUGCUCCGGAUAACGGAGAGGAAGGUGGGGAUGAGGUCAAGUCAGCAUGGCCUUUAUGUCCAGGGCCACACACGUGUUACAAUGCGCGCCACAAAGCGUCGCGAACCCGCGAGGGGGAGCUAAUCGCAAAAAACCGGUCUCAGUUCGGAUUGCAGGCUGCAACUCGCCUGCAUGAAGCUGGAAUCGCUAGUAAUCGCGUAUCAGAACGACGCGGUGAAUACGUUCCCGGGCCUUGUACACACCGAGUA
rnacentral:rRNA from 1 species